GACAGAGGAUGCAAGCGUUGUCCGGAAUUAUUGGGCGUAAAGAGCUCGUAGGCGGUUCGUCGCGUCGGCUGUGAAAACCUGAGGCUCAACCUCAGGCCUGCAGUCGAUACGGGCGGACUUGAGUACUGCAGGGGAGACUGGAAUUCCUGGUGUAGCGGUGAAAUGCGCAGAUAUCAGGAGGAACACCAGUGGCGAAGGCGGUUCUCUGGGCAUUACCUGACGCUGAGGAGCGAAAGUGUGGGGAGCGAACAGG
rnacentral:rRNA from 1 species